rnacentral:rRNA from 1 species
GACGUAGGGGGCUAGCGUUGUCCGGAUUUACUGGGCGUAAAGAGCGCGCAGGCGGUCGUUCAAGUCGCGUGUGAAAGCCCCCGGCUCAACUGGGGAGGGUCAUUCGAUACUGAUCGACUCGAAGGCAGGAGAGGGUAGUGGAAUUCCCGGUGUAGUGGUGAAAUGCGUAGAUAUCGGGAGGAACACCAGUGGCGAAGGCGACUACCUGGCCUGUUCUUGACGCUGAGGCGCGAAAGCUAGGGGAGCAAACGGG